rnacentral:rRNA from 1 species
AGAGUUUGAUUCUGGCUCAGGAUGAACGCUAGCUACAGGCUUAACACAUGCAAGUCGAGGGGCAGCAUGGUCUUAGUUUGCUAAGGCUGAUGGCGACCGGCGCACGGGUGAGUAACACGUAUCCAACCUGCCGUCUACUCUUGGCCAGCCUUCUGAAAGGAAGAUUAAUCCAGGAUGGGAUCAUGAGUUCACAUGUCCGCAUGAUUAAAGGUAUUUUCCGGUAGACGAUGGGGAUGCGUUCCAUUAGAUAGUAGGCGGGGUAACGGCCCACCUAGUCAACGAUGGAUAGGGGUUCUGAGAGGAAGGUCCCCCACAUUGGAACUGAGACACGGUCCAAACUCCUACGGGAGGCAGCAGUGAGGAAUAUUGGUCAAUGGGCGAUGGCCUGAACCAGCCAAGUAGCGUGAAGGAUGACUGCCCUAUGGGUUGUAAACUUCUUUUAUAAAGGAAUAAAGUCGGGUAUGCAUACCCGUUUGCAUGUACUUUAUGAAUAAGGAUCGGCUAACUCCGUGCCAGCAGCCGCGGUAAUACGGAGGAUCCGAGCGUUAUCCGGAUUUAUUGGGUUUAAAGGGAGCGUAGAUGGAUGUUUAAGUCAGUUGUGAAAGUUUGCGGCUCAACCGUAAAAUUGCAGUUGAUACUGGAUGUCUUGAGUGCAGUUGAGGCAGGCGGAAUUCGUGGUGUAGCGGUGAAAUGCUUAGAUAUCAAGAAGAACUCCGAUUGCGAAGGCAGCCUGCUAAGCUGCAACUGACAUUGAGGCUCGAAAGUGUGGGUAUCAAAAAGGAUUAGAUACCCUGGUAGUCCAC